UCAUGUGCAUGCCUUCACCAGAGAAGGUGUUUAGCACAAUGAGAGGUGCAUUUUGGAAGGCACGCAUCAUCACAUAUUGUUUUUUCAGUGAAGAUAUUACAUCACGAGCUAAACUGUACUGAAAAUUUGAAUAACGAAAAGGUAUGACACCAUACAGCCUAAUUUCUUCUUUAUUCUGUUUUAUGAAAAAUAAUAAGGAAUGAAAAAGGAUAUGAAUGCAAUGAAGUGCAGUUGAUUUAUUUGAAAUGGCAACUGAUUGGGAUGAAACCAAAUGAAACGAGAUGAAAUGUCAAGAAAAUUCAAGAAAUAUACCUAGUCUAAGUAAAAUGGUGGUUACUAACUGUAACUUUUUCAGUGGACUUUUUAGAAUAUCCUGAGAAGCUACGUCCAGCUUGAAGAAUCACUGAAGUUAAAAAAAAUAAAACAAUUCAUACAGCUUCGCACCUCUCAUUCCCGCCAAAGAGUCCCUUAAAUAUUAAGUACAUUAACUGUUUGUCUUUUUGCAUAGAUUGUAACAUGCAGCAAGUUCUUUUAAGGUAGGUAUUCGCUGAAAGGGAACCAAUUAAGGUGGCGCUAUAGUAACAAGUGGAGGUUUUUAAAAUAGCGCCAUCUACCACCACACUUCACUGUUUAAAACUGCCUUCAUCAUAUGAUUUCCACGUUCUAGUGCUAUUUCGAAUCACCGUUAUGCAAGACAAAAUUUCUUAUUAUUUGGAAUGCUACAAAUUUUAGUUUACUACCAUUAAAACAGCAAAUACUUAUAUAAAGCGAUAGUCGAAAUAUGUUAUGGAUAAUUAAACAUUUGGUUUUCAAUAUUAUAUAGGGGGACCAAAAUAAAACAAAUCAAUACAAAUCAAAACAGCUUUAUUUACCGCUGGCUCAUAUCAUGUGAAUUCGCUUUGCACAUAUAAGUAAAUAAUAUACAAUGUUUUAUUCGUCUUAAUAUGCUGUUUCGUAUUUUAUUAUAUAAAUUUCGUUAUACAAAAACAUCGACUCGGAGACAGUUAAUUAAUCACACAUUUAUACAAUGUAAAAACAUUAUUGCAUUUUUUGUUAUUUAGUGUAACCUUAAAAUAUUACAUAUACUUUUUUCGUACCUACUUAAACAAUAUAAUAACGGAAAUUAGGGCGAUUUAGCCUGAGCGUUCAUCGUACCAAUCUGGCAUGAAUCCAACGCGAAUCCCGAUACAGACUUUGCAUAUAAUUCAUUUGUGUAAAUUGUCGAAAACAUUACGAAUGGUUAAAUCUUCAAAAGCCAAGUUCACGUACAAGAGAGAAAAUAUUAUGACUUGACCUUAAACAAUAUAACCGAGCUAUAGUCAAGUAACCCUUAAAUGCAGUUAUUUAGUACUAUAUGUUUUUUUUUCGUUCUGUCAACUCCAGUGUCUCGUCACUAUUACUAUAAUUUCAGAAUAAAUAAGCUAUAAAAUUCACUGAUGUUUUAGAAGUAUACAAUUUAAUCUUUAUCAAAACUAAUUAGUAAUGAGUAAUCGGCCAUUUUAAGCUAAGCGGUACCGACUUGGAAACAAAUCAGAAUCUAUCCAAUCCAAAAUUGGUCUAGCUCGUAACCUUUUGUAUUUAAGGAUCAAUAUCACUAAGCUGGGAUCAUAAUCGGUGCGAUCGAGACGUAGCAAGUCAAAAUGGCGCUAAUUUCCGUUAUUAUAUUAUAUUUAUUCAGUACGAAACCUUAUAUUUGACGUAUGUACCAGCAAAACGUAAAUAAAGUUCAUGAAAAGUAACAGCGAACUCAACGUUGCCUCAUUUCUUGAACUAGACUAGUUCGGGGAAAUAUCAGCCCCUACUACGAGCAACCAGACGCGACUAAUUACGACUAAAAAACAUUAUUUUCACAUAGUCAAACCCGUAGUAGCGGCCAUUCAAUUUGCUAUCCUAUUUUAAGAAUUUAUAGUUUUUUUUUUAAAGUGCGAAGUGCAAUUUCGAUUAAUACGAUACUACCUUAUUACUUUUAUUAAAUAGAAACAAAAAUAAAAAAUGAUAAAAAAA